rnacentral:rRNA from 1 species
UACGUAGGGAGCAAGCGUUGUUCGGAUUUACUGGGCGCAAAGGGCGCGUAGGCGGCGCGGUAAGUCACUUGUGAAAUCUCUGAGCUUAACUCAGAACGGCCAAGUGAUACUGCAGUGCUAGAGUGCAGAAAGGGCAAUCGGAAUUCUUGGUGUAGCGGUGAAAUGCGUAGAUAUCAAGAGGAACACCUGAGGCGAAGGCGACCACCUGGACUGAUACUGACACUGAGGUGCGAAAGCGUGGGGAGCAAACAGG